UAAAGGAAGCCACCCCUUCCGGUCCAUUCUUCCUAUCAUUAUUAAAGUCUAAUGGAGUCAGAUUAGAGAUGAAACCAAGGAUUCCCGUUUCCAGAGGUUUCUCUGUUCAUACGUUUGGCUCUCAGAAAACCUCCAGCCAAGCUGAUGAGUCAUACCCGGACCUGCAGACCACCGUAGACCAGGGUCAAUCCUCCGUUCAGAACGUGGCUAAUGGACGUGGGAACCAGCGUGGAGGGGAUAAAUCUCGGUCCAUUUUGAAAGUGAAGUUCCCCAAACUCCACCUUCGCCCUUUACUGAAGAAGACGGUUGAGGACGAAGAAACUGCAGUGAAAUGGAGGAAAGAGCCGAGGAGCAGAAAACCCAGGACAGCACAGCAUGGAGGAGCAACAGGUGCUGACAAUGACUGUGGUUCUGCUGAGGAAAGUGUGUUCUUCUUUUCUCAAAAAUCCAACCUUAAAUCCACAAACGAAACUGAAAAGGAAUAAAGAAAAUUAUAUUAUAGAAAAUGUGGAGAAAAAGAAUGCAACAUCCUAAAUAAAGAGGAAAAUCAAAGACUUCA
rnacentral:lncRNA from 1 species